GACGAACGCUGGCGGCGUGCUUAACACAUGCAAGUCGAACGGAAAGGCCCUGCUUUUGUGGGGUGCUCGAGUGGCGAACGGGUGAGUAACACGUGAGUAACCUGCCCUUGACUUUGGGAUAACUUCAGGAAACUGGGGCUAAUACCGGAUAGGAGCUCCUGCUGCAUGGUGGGGGUUGGAAAGUUUCGGCGGUUGGGGAUGGACUCGCGGCUUAUCAGCUUGUUGGUGGGGUAGUGGCUUACCAAGGCUUUGACGGGUAGCCGGCCUGAGACGGUGACCGGCCACAUUGGGACUGAGAUACGGCCCAGGCUCCUACGGGAGGCAGCGGUGGGGAAUAUUGCACAAUGGUCGGAAGCCUUAUGCAGCAACGCCGCUUGCGGGAUGACGGCCUUCGGGUUGUAAACCGCUUUCGCCUGUAACGAAGCGUGAGUGACGGUAAUGGGUAAAGAAGCACCGGCUAACUACGUG
rnacentral:rRNA from 1 species